GGUCAAUAUGAUGAACAAAACUAAUUGUCUGCAUGCAAAUUGAAGACGUUUUAAUCACCAAGAUCGCUGAGACU
rfam:Macrostomum lignano uti_cns_0001327, whole genome shotgun sequence.